GGCGCGAAAACUUUACACUGCGGGAAACCGCGAUAAGGGGACCCCGAGUGCCAGCACCUAGUGCUGGCUGUCCAGCUGUCCAAAUAACAGUUGUUAGCAAGGGCCGGGCAAGACCGGUGCCAGCCGCCGCGGUAACACCGGCGGCCCGAGUGGUAGCCGUUAUUAUUGGGUUUAAAGGGUCCGUAGCCGGCCUAUUAAGUCUCUUGGGAAAUCUGGCGACUCAAUCGUCAGUCGUCCAAGAGAUACUGGUAGGCUUGGGACCGGGAGAGGUGGGAGGUACUCCAGGGUAGGGGUGAAAUCUCGUAAUCCUUGGGGGACCACCGAUGGCGAAGGCAUCCCACCAGAACGGGUCCGACGGUGAGGGACGAAAGCUGGGGGCACGAACCGGAUUAGAUACCCGGGUAGUCCCAGCCGUAAACGAUGCUCGCUAGGUGUCAGGUGCGGUGCGACCGCAUCUGGUGCCGCAGUGAAAACUUGAAGCGAGUCACCUGGGAAGUACGGUCGCAAGGCUGAAACUUAAAGGAAUUGGCGGGGGAGCAC
rnacentral:rRNA from 1 species